rnacentral:lncRNA from 1 species
GACUAGGGGUGGGGAUGAUGAAGGCAGGGGCUGCUCCUGUAGCUGAGAUCUGGGGUUGACCUUCGGAGUCAGUGUGAGGAGGUCAGAGUACUGAGUGUCCUCCAAGCCUCACUUUUCCCCCUGCGGUCCGGCAGAGAAUGGUGGCGUCACCCUAGAGCGAGGAUUUGCAGACCAACUGGAGUGUCUCCUUCCUGAGCAUUCAGCCUACAAUCCCAAGGGACUGAGUUGGCUCCAGUGCAGUAUACAUGGAAGUGGUACUUGCUCUUUGGGGCUUGGCCUCAGAACUAUCCUGGAGACUUGAAGUUCUUGUCGUACAGAUCUUUCUCUUGCUUGGUUCGAGUCACACUAAGGUUAUUCGUAUUGGAGGCUGAAGAGAUGGCUCAGAAGUUUAAAGAGCACUGACUGCUCUUCCAGAGGUCCUGAGUUCAAUUCCCAGCAACCACAUAGUGGCUCACAACCAUCUGUAAUGGGGUCCAAUGCCCUCUUCUGGUGUCUGAAGACAGCUACAGUGUACUCAUAAGUAUAAAACAAAUAAAUCUUUUUUUUUAAAAAA